rfam:Ictidomys tridecemlineatus contig055554, whole genome shotgun sequence.
AGCAAUGUAGUUUAGUGGCAGAGCAUUUACCUGGCAUGUGCAAAACCCUAGGUUCAAUACCUAGUGUCUCUG